AGUUAUUACUCUUUUCUGUUUAAGUGAUUCCUCAUCAUCCUCAUCAUGUUCUGGACUGUCUUCUCUGUCAUAACUUAUUUUUCCUAUUCUGUGGCUCAGUUUACUGUCAUUCAGGAACCCACAAUAAUUGCCUCUGUUGGUGGCAGUGUCCGUCUGUCCUGUGGUCGGAGUGAUGCCUCUGUAGCUGGUGGUAACUACCCAACCUGGGUAUAUCAGGCACCUGGGAGUGUUCCUAAGGGUUUAGUAGGUAGCGAUGGAAGCAGCAAUC